UGCAGCUUGGCCGAGUGGUUUAGGCGAUGGACUUGAAAUCGAUUGGGAUCUGCCCACGUAGGUUCGAAUCCUGACGGCUGCUAA